CACGCCGUAAACGAUGAAUGCCAGACGUCGGGUAGCAUGCUAUUCGGUGUCACACCUAACGGAUUAAGCAUUCCGCCUGGGGAGUACGGCCGCAAGGUUAAAACUCAAAGGAAUUGACGG
rnacentral:rRNA from 1 species